UGGGGCGUCGCCAAGCGGUAAGGCACGGGACUUUGACUCCCGCAUUCGAAGGUUCGAUUCCUUCCGCCCCAGCCA
rnacentral:tRNA from 1 species